UCUUUCUUUCACUCUCUAAAGCAAUCCAUCUCUUCAGUUUCUCUCUCUCUCUCUCUCUUUUCAGUUUCUCUCUCCUCCUUUUUGGGUGUGCGACAGUGAGUGUAGCCAGAGCUGCCGAGCUAAAAAACAGGAGGGGUUUUGAACAAAUUCAAAGCCAACCCAAAACCCAAAUUCAAUAAGAGGAUUGUUUCAAGUACAAAGCUUGAAUGGAGGGCAGAGAGCCAAAAGUAGCACAGAAUCUCAAACGGGUAUCUUUCUCUUAACACUUUUGAAGUUGGCUCUCUUUCUCUCUCUCUCUCUCUCUCUCUGUGUGUUUCAGAGCUGAGGGUUUCCUGCAACUCUGACUAGGGUUUUUGAACGGGGGCAUUUAUUAUGCUGAAAUCAAUGUUCUUCUAGACUUUUACCAGCCCUUUCUUUGAACUGUCAUUUUUUAGUCUUCUGCCUUGGGAGUGCUUCCUCUUGUCAAAUAUGGAACUGCAAAUUUGAGUGGUCUUUGGAAAUGGUAGCUGCUAAUUUGGUACAGCUUUUUCUGGGUACAUGGGUUUUGUUUCACUGUUUUGGAAUUUUUCUGCCCAUUAAUGCAAGUGUGGAUCUUUCUCUCAAAGCCCUUUUCUUUGUGUAGUUAUCUUCACAUAGCACAUUAUUUCUUUACUUUUUGGGUUUCCUGGAUACUCCUGAGGUAAUUUUUCUCGGAGAAGCUUGAAGUUCCUUCAAUUGCAAGUUUAAAGUUUACAUCUUUUGAGAUUAUUUGAGUUGAAUUAUACUUUUGCUUACUUCCUCUGUUUUUAAUUUGCUUUUUUUCUCUCCUGUUUUAGUCAAACUGAAAUUAGGGUUCUAGGGUUUUAUUUGGGGUGGUCAAAUUUGGGAGAUUUUGGCUACUUUUGGCGUUCUUUGGAGAAAACAUGGAUAUGGGUGAGCAAGAUAAAUUUGAAUUAGAGAAUAGGAAUGAUGAUCCUAUGAAUUUUUCUCCUGGGAUUACACCAGACUGGAGAUUUGGUGGCUCCAAUCUCACAAAUACAUCCACGGGGUUAGUUGCCACUGGAAAUUCUAUGGCAGUUAGUAAGGGGGAUCUAGUUGGUUCUUCUUCUCGGCCCUCGGCUUCAAUGGCGGAAUCGUUUAACCCGACACUUUGGGAUCACCCAACCAGUGCACAAGACCUGGGGUUUUGUGACAUGAACGUUCAGACCAGUGCAAGCACUUCAGACUCAUUGGGAAUUAGGAAAGGCAUUCCUGCCUCUUUGAGAAGUGGUAUUGAUAGAGCACUUGAUAUGUGCUGGAAUCCACCGAAUUCGAUGUUGAAAGGGGGAAUGUUCUUGCCAAAUGGGCCUGGAGUGCUCCCACAGAGUUUGUCUCAGUUUCCAGCCGAUUCUGCGUUCAUUGAGCGUGCUGCGAGGUUCUCGUGCUUCAAUGGCGGGAAUUUUAGUGAUAUGGUCAACCCUUUUGGUGUCCCUGAAUCCAUGAGUAUGUAUUCUAAGGGUGGGGGAUUGAUGCCGUGGACACAAGAACUUGUAGCCGGUAAUGGGUCGAAAGGAGUUCCCGGCGUCCAUUCUCAAAGGAAUGAGCUAAAUGGGGAUGUUUCUUUGCCUAUGGAGCAAGGGACUACUGAAGGGAGCCCACUGAAGAAUGAGAAGAAAAGUGAGAGCCUUGCGAAAUCUCAUGAUGAAGCAAGACACGCUAUUGGCGGGUCUGGUAACGAGUCCGAUGAAGCUGAUUCCAGCGGUGGUGGCGGUGCUGGUCAAGAAGAACCAUCUAUGCUGGAGGGUGCAAAACCAUCUUCUAAGGGCUUUAAGAAAAGGAAAAGGUAGUAGGCAGGUAAACCACCAUCUGGAAAAUGCCUUUUUUUUUACCUUGUUCGUUAUGCAUGUUAUUUAAUUUAUCUUUGAUGACAGGCUAAUGAGCUUGAUCAAGCCAAUGCACAACAACCCGGUGAAUCGGUAAUGGAUAUUACUGAAUUUCAAGAUAAGGGAGAGCAACAACCAGCUUCAACUCCCAACAAGACUACUGGAAAACAGGGGAAACAAGGGUCUCAAGCAUCUGAUCCACCGAAAGAAGAAUAUAUUCAUGUUAGAGCACGAAGAGGCCAGGCAACAAAUAGUCAUAGUCUUGCAGAAAGAGUCCGAAGGGAGAAAAUCAGUGAGAGGAUGAAGUUUCUUCAAGAUCUUGUGCCUGGAUGCAGCAAGGUAACUGGGAAGGCAGUGAUGCUGGACGAAAUCAUUAACUACGUACAGUCAUUGCAACGGCAGGUUGAGUUUUUGUCAAUGAAGCUUGCUACGGUGAAUCCGCGACUUGAUUUUAACAUUGAAGGCCUCCUUGCAAAAGAUAUCCUUCAGUCACAGAUCGGACCUUCAUCUACGUUGGGGUUUUCUCCGGAUAUCCCUAUGGUUUAUCCUCAACUACAUCCAUCUCAACCGGGACUUAUCCAAGCUGGCCUUCCUGGGAUGGGGAGCUCUUCUGAUCUACUUCGGAGUGCCAUGGGUUCCCAAAUGACACAAAUGACCGGAGGAUUCAAGGAGCCUUCUCAGCCACAGCUACCAAAUGUGUGGGAGGAUGAGCUCCACAACGUUGUCCAGAUGAGCUAUGGAGGCAGUACUCCUCCGAGUAGCCAAGAUGUGGAUGGACCAACGCCACCGGGCCAGAUGAAAGUUGAACUUUGAUUAUACGAUUCUUAUUCAUGCCGCGACACUGUUCCGCCCCCAUACAUGCGCAAUACUACCGUGAUGAAAUAACAACGAUCAUGAUUCUCCCUUUCCCCGUCACCUAGGACGAUGAAGAGACCAUCGCCAUAUUUUGCGGAAGCUCAACCCGUCAAAUUUGAAGCUUCCGGCUUUAGGCGAUUUGCAGAAACAUAAUGCAGAAGCAGAUGUUACGUUGAUAUUGUAAGCAGCAUUAUAUGGUGGUAUGUAUAGAGGCAGAGAAGGUGAAGUUGUUUGUGUUGAAGGGAGUGGAUCAGGGAAUGUAUAGAAAUAGAGAUGGGCGGUAACAAGGAAUUUGCGAUGGGAAAUGUUGGUCAUGUUUUUGUUAUUUUUAGAUUAACAAAUUGUUUUGUUAAUUAUAUAUCUUUCAAUGUCAAGUGUAGUAUUAUAAUUUAUUUCUUC